UGGAGGGAACCAACUCCAGACACAACAGUGCACUGGAUCUUGCCGCUGUGGCUGUCCUGGAGUUUCCGAGCCUACUCUGGCUUGGGAGGCCGCCCGAGUUGCACAUCUUUCAUUGCUUGAUGAAACUCCUUUAAAUUUAAUUCGGCUGAAGUUUUUCUUUUAUCAUGUGUAAUGUCAAAAUAUCCAGUUGGAAAGGGGAAAAAACGACGAUCCUCAAGAAGGCGGUUCGGGCAACACCAAGCCUCCAGCAGUGGGAAGAUCAAUGUCAAGAUAAGGGCGUCUCGGUCACCAAUUUGCAAAAAGUCACCCGGGGAACUUGUUGAAUGAGGAUUUUGAUUCAAUAUGUCUGGGAUGGAGCCAGAGAGUCUGCAUUUCUAAUUAUCUCCCAGAUGACAUCAACGCUGCUUUGGGUGGCAAGGCUCUACAGCAGGGAUUUCCACAACUGAAUUCACGAAAGUCCCUUAGUAACUCUGAUAUGCAGCAGGAUUUUGGAACUGGAGCUAUUGAAAAGCUCAUUGAAGAUUAAUUAAUGCAAGAACCAGAGGAAUCAGGACAGUAUUGAAGCUUCUUCAAGCAAAACGUUUUAUUUCCAGCAGCAUGUGGAAAAACAUAUUGUAGAUGUCUGUAUAAAAUAUCUCAAACAGCCAUCAGAAAUUUGGGAUGUAAUGUUUUUAAUAAACCAUAGAAUGCCUGUUUUAAAGAUGUUGAAGUCCUGGAGUAACUAAAAAGGAUGGAUGAAAUGAGUAAAUCUGUAGACACAGUGACACUUUUGUCGCUUCUUGAAUCAUACUUUAAAUUAUUUGAG
rnacentral:lncRNA from 1 species